rnacentral:rRNA from 1 species
CUUGAACGCUGGCGGCAGGCCUAACACAUGCAAUUCGAACGAGUGGCGGACGGGUUAGUAAUGUCUGGGAAACUGCCUGAUGGAGGGGGAUAACUACUGGAAACGGUAGCUAAUACCGCAUACCAUCAGAUGUGCCCAGAUGGGAUUAGAUAGUUGGUGGGGUAACGGCUCACCAAGGCGACCAUCCCUAGCUGGUCUGAGAGGAUGACCAGCCACACUGGAACAGAGACACGGUCCAGACUCCUACGGGAGGAAGCAGUGGGGAAUAUGGGACAAUGGGCGAAAGCCUGAUACAGCCAUGCCGCGUGUAUGAAGAAGGCCUUCGGGUUGUAAAGUACUUUAAGCGGGGAGGCGUUACCCGCAGAAGAAGCACCGGCUAACUCCGUGCCAGCAGCCGCGGUAAUUC